CUGAGUACGGCGGAACACGUGAAAUUCCGUCGGAAUCCGGGAGGACCAUCUCCCAAGGCUAAAUACUCCCUAGUGACCGAUAGUGAACCAGUACCGUGAGGGAAAGGUGAAAAGCACCCCGGAAGGGGAGUGAAACAGUUCCUGAAACCGUGUGCCUACAAGUAGUUAGAGCCCGUUAAUGGGUGAUAGCGUGCCUUUUGUAGAAUGAACCGGCGAGUUACGAUUUGUUGCAAGGUUAAGCGGAAAAAGCGGAGCCGUAGCGAAAGCGAGUCUGAAUAGGGCGCAUAAGUAACAGGUCGUAGACCCGAAACCAGGUGAUCUACCCAUGUCCAGGAUGAAGGUAAGGUAAUACUUACUGGAGGUCCGAACCCACGCACGUUGAAAAGUGCGGGGAUGAGGUGUGGGUAGCGGAGAAAUUCCAAUCGAACUUGGAGAUAGCUGGUUCUCUCCGAAAUAGCUUUAGGGCUAGCCUCGAGGUAAAGAGUCAUGGAGGUAGAGCACUGUUUGGACUAGGGGCCCUUCUCGGGUUACCGAAUUCAGAUAAACUCCGAAUGCCAUGUACUUAUACUCGGGAGUCAGACUGCGAGUGAUAAGAUCCGUAGUCGAAAGGGAAACAGCCCAGACCACCAGUUAAGGUCCCCAAAUAUAUGUUAAGUGGAAAAGGAUGUGGGGUUGCUUAGACAACCAGGAUGUUGGCUUAGAAGCAGCCACCAUUGAAAGAGUGCGUAAUAGCUCACUGGUCGAGUGACCCCGCGCCGAAAAUGUACCGGGGCUAAACAUAUUACCGAAACUGUGGAUGAACCUCUUUAGAGGUUCGUGGUAGGAGAGCGUUCUAAGGGCGGUGAAGUCAGACCGGAAGGACUGGUGGAGCGCUUAGAAGUGAGAAUGCCGGUAUGAGUAGCGAAAGAAGGGUGAGAAUCCCUUCCACCGAAUAUCUAAGGUUUCCUGAGGAAGGCUCGUCCGCUCAGGGUUAGUCGGGACCUAAGCCGAGGCCGAUAGGCGUAGGCGAUGGACAACAGGUAGAGAUUCCUGUACCAGUGCUAAUUGUUUAACCGAUGGGGUGACACAGAAGGAUAGGGAAUCGCACGAAUGGAAAUGUGCGUCCAAGCAGUGAGUGUGAGAAGUAGGCAAAUCCGCUUCUCGCGAAGCAUGAGCUGUGAUGGGGAAGGAAAUUAAGUACGGAAGUUCCUGAUUUCACGCUGUCAAGAAAAGCCUCUAGGAAGAGUAGUACUGCCCGUACCGCAAACCGACACAGGUAGAUGAGGAGAGAAUCCUAAGGUGAGCGAGAGAACUCUCGUUAAGGAACUCGGCAAAAUGACCCCGUAACUUCGGGAGAAGGGGUGCUCUAUUAGGGUGCAAGCCCGAGAGAGCCGCAGUGAAUAGGCCCAGGCGACUGUUUAGCAAAAACACAGGUCUCUGCAAAACCGUAAGGUGACGUAUAGGGGCUGACGCCUGCCCGGUGCUGGAAGGUUAAGAGGAGUGCUUAGCUUCGGCGAAGGUACGAAUUGAAGCCCCAGUAAACGGCGGCCGUAACUAUAACGGUCCUAAGGUAGCGAAAUUCCUUGUCGGGUAAGUUCCGACCCGCACGAAAGGCGCAACGAUCUGGGCACUGUCUCAACGAGAGACUCGGUGAAAUUAUAGUACCUGUGAAGAUGCAGGUUACCCGCGACAGGACGGAAAGACCCCGUGGAGCUUUACUGCAACCUGAUAUGGAAUGUUUGUACCGCUUGUACAGGAUAGGUAGGAGCCGAAGAGACGUGUGCGCUAGCAUACGAGGAGGCAAUGGUGGGAUACUACCCUGGCUGUAUGACCAUUCUAACCCGCCACGCUUAGCGCGUGGGGAGACAGUGUCAGGUGGGCAGUUUGACUGGGGCGGUCGCCUCCUAAAGAGUAACGGAGGCGCCCAAAGGUUCCCUCAGAAUGGAUGGAAAUCAUUCGCAGAGUGUAAAGGCACAAGGGAGCUUGAC
rnacentral:rRNA from 1 species